GUGUGACUGCGGAAGGAUCAUG
rnacentral:rRNA from 1 species